ACGGCGAGUGAACAGGGAAGAGCCCAGCACCGAAGCCUGUGGCCAUUUGGUCUCUAGGCAAUGUGGUGUUUAGGUCAGCUCGCGGAGACACUGUCCCACUCUAAGUCCAGCAAUGAGACUGGUAUCUGGACAUGGCCCAAAGAGGGUGAAAGGCCCGUGAGGGUGGGAACUCAGACAUGCCAGUGUCUCCCUGAGUAGACCUUGGAGUCGGGUUGUUUGUGAAUGCAGCCCAAAGUGGGUGGUAAACUCCAUCCAAGGCUAAAUACUAACACGAGUCCGAUAGCGAACAAGUACCGUGAGGGAAAGUUGAAAAGUACUUUGAAGAGAGAGUAAACAGUGCGUGAAACCGCUCAGAGGUAAACGGGUGGAGUUGAACUGCAAAGCUCCGAGAAUUUAACUGGUGAGUGUGGUAUACACUUGGAUAUAUUGGUUGGCCCUCAAAGUCUGCAGAAAACUGUGGAGGCUGUGCUAACGCGCGGCGUGCGUUGAAGCGCUUAUCAAGCGCUGUGCUCUUUGGGGGUACUUCGAACCUGCUUGCCAGUGCAUUUUCUCAGAGUGAUCACCACGACCGGCGCUGCUGUCUGUCUGCUGUGGUUAAACCGGGUGUGUAUCGUCCUUGUGGCUUUGCAUACUCGGGAUGGCAGGUAACCCGAUUGUGCUUGUCACGAUUGGGUGUAAUCAGCUGACCAUAGUAGUACUGUGCAGUGCGUCGGAGACGGCGGCUUGUGGUGCGUACAUGCGUGCAUGUUGAGUGGCGGCUUUGGGUCUGGUUAUACUGUAGCCUGUAAAAACAGGCCAUGUAAUGGCCCAGGGUUGUUCACUUGAUGGUUGCGUAUGGGGCACUUUAAUGGGCCUACAGUCUGUGG
rnacentral:rRNA from 1 species